AAUCCUCACAGGUGUUCCCGCACAAAUGACACAAGCCUGAGGGAACAAAAAUACUGUCAUAUACUUCCUAAACCUACUGCUAAUCUGGAAAGCCUUAAGCCAAGCCAAACUCAACACAAAUAGAACUGUAUCCGAAACAAGAAAUAAGCCAACCUCGCCUUCCCAAAUGCCAAAUGCUCCUUCUGCCAAAACUAAAGCCACUUAAAGGAUGUAGCAUUUUCUUCCAGAUACUAAGAGGAACAUCCAGAAUAGCUGACAAUCCCAUAUAGCAAAGGUUAGCACAAAUUGAUAAAUUGCAGGCCAACACAAUGUUGCGACAAUUUAACCAAGAACAUACCAAUAUUCAGAGAGAGGCCCAUAUGGGUUGGCCAACGCUUUGAUAAUACCCCCUCCAGAUUUUAUCCUUCAGCAAGAAUCCCUGCACAAGACAAAAGAAAGAUCUCCCAAUUAACACAUAGCUACAAACCAUAUGAGACAUUUAUCAGCAUCUCAACCAGAAAAUCCAAGAAUUUAUUAAAAUCAACACUUGAAUCUAAUUAUGAGUCAGUGGCAUUGAUUAUAUUCAGAGAUUUAUUCAUGCUUUAGGCUUAAUCUUAAACCAAAUGCUAAGUUAAUCUUGUAAAGAAAGAUACAAAGGACUCUUUAAUGACAGAUUUAGUAUGACUAGAUAAAUCUCUAUUAUAGGAGAAGGUUCUUAUUUCUGAAUGCUAUUCACAUAUGAGAGAUCGCCCAACUGACUACUGUGGCUACAAAAAAAUUCUCUUCCACACCAUGCAUAUUUACCUAGGGCCAACCAACAAGAAAAGCUUAUAAGUUAUAACUAAUUGACCAUAAUUCAGCUAGGCCAUAGCAAGAGAAGUAAAUCAUCCAGCUAAACGAAGAAGAGCAGAUAACUUGACGUUUUUGAGGAAUUUUGGAGUAAGAAGAGUUGUCUUUUUAGAAAAGAACUGAAAAGAAUCAUUUUAGCAUAAGCAUUCCUUUAACAGACAUUCACUGACUCAAAACCCUCCAGCAAACGGAAAGAAAUACAAAGUAGUGCAAUAUGAACUACAACAAGUGCUAUGAUUAUCAGCAAAAGUAUAAUUUCUGCUGUGAAAACAAGUACUAGCACAUCUUGAUACAAAAUAUACAUGUAUGUAUCUUAUAGGAAACCCAAGCCUUUAAUAUCUAGAGACUUAUUUUACUUUUAGAGAGGUCAAGUUCACAUUUUCAAAAUUUUAGUUUACCUUAACACAUUUAGAACAUUUGCUAUCACUAGUUUUGAACAUAACCACCAAAUACAACCUAGCAACACAAGAAAAAAGCUAAGCCACUACAGAGCUACACCAAAAGUUGUAAAUGCAUCAGUAUUGAAACAUAUCCACCUUCAAGGAAGGGUAACAUGCACAACUCUUCAUAUGCAGCAACGGAACUACAAAAAUGACAAUGGCUUCAUUUCCUAAUUACAUCUGCAGGCUACUUUGAAUACAAUGGACCUAAAAAAAGUACUACUACCAGCUAGGCUAUUAUGAAAAUUGAAAAACCUUCUGAUGCAUACCGAAUGUGACCUUAACAUAUCAAACACAUGAUUCUUGCGAUAUUCUAAGUUCAAUUAUGAUUUAGAACAUAAGAAACAAUGAUUUAGAACACAAGCAACUAUUAUUUAGAACAUAAGCAACGAUGAUUAAUCAAUUAUAACGCCACAAUCAAGAACAAUUCACGAGAAGAAACAACAGGCUAUUUUGGUUCAAACUGGACUUCCAAUAACAGUCUGAAGGACGUCUUUUCCAAAAAAGUCGACAUAAGAAAAUGAGCAGCUAUAAUGUCACUCGUUGCACGAGAAAUUUGGAUUCAAACAAGUAAAAUUUAGAACAGAAUACUAGAAAUUUAGAUCAGAAUACCAGAAAUUUAGAACAAACUUAGAUACAAAAUUCGAAAAAUUUCCAUAACAUCCAAUACAAGUAAUUCAAUCAAAUUACAAUCCGAAAUGAAUAAACAAAUCAAACAUAAAUCAACAAAACACGUUAUUGAAUUACAAAAUUGAAAACUAAACCAAAGUUUAGAAUCAUACCUUUGAAAUAGACCUCAUAAAACACGAAAUCUGGAAAAAUCGAUGAAGAUAAUCGAUUAAAUAACAUAAAUUUGAACGAAACAGAUGAAGAAUUUGGAGUAAAACUGACCGAAAUUGUAGAGGGAGGGAGAGAGAAAGUGAAGUUGUCGAAAGAGUUUAGAGAGAGAAAGAAAGUAACGCUGAAGAGGAAGAAUAAAAGGGGAUAAGUGUUUAAAAUUUACAAAACUUCCAUUACUCUCUCCUUAAUUUUGGGCGGUUAGAUUAGAUUUGAUCCUACGGUUUAAGAGUGUUCUUACAGUAAGAAAGUGUUCUCACCGUAAGAAGUGUUCUUACGAGAGCCUUUAUAUAUAUAUAUAUAUGGGGAGGGAUCCGGUGAGAACACCUCCUUAUGUGAGAACACUUCUUAUGGUGAGAACACUUUUACACUCUCUAUGUUCUAUAUUUGUUCAACAAUGUUCUAAAUUUUCAAACUCAUGUUCUAAAUUUAUUCAACCAUGUUCUAAACUUAUUUAACUAUAUUCUAAAUUGGUUCAGCCAUGUUCUAAAUUUAUUCAAGCAUGUUUUAAUUUUAUUCAACCAUGUUCUAAAUUUGUAAGCUCAUGUUCUAAAUUUAUUUAAGCAUGUUCUAAAUUUAUUCAAGCAUGUUCUAAAUUUAUUCAAGCAUGUUCUAAAUUUAUUCAACGAUGUUCUAAAUUUUCAAAAUCAUGUUCUAAAUUUAUUCAACCAUGUUCUAAACUUAUUUAACAAUGUUCUAAAUUGGUUCAGCCAUGUUCUAAAUUUAUUCAAGCAUGUUUUAAUUUUAUUCAACCAUGUUCUAAAUUUUUAACCUCAUGUUCUAGAUUAAUUCAAGCAUGUUCUAAAAUUAUUCAACCAUGUUCUAAAUUUGUAAGCUCAUGUUCUAAAUUUAUUCAAGCAUGUUCUAAAUUUAUUCAACGAUGUUCUAAAUUUGUUCAACCAUGUUCUAAAUUUGUAAGCUCAUGUUCUAAAUUUAUUCAAGCAUGUUCUAAAUUUAUUCAAGCAUGUUCUAAAUUUAUUCAACGAUGUUCUAAAUUUGUCCACCCAUGUUCUAAAUUUGUUCAACCAUGUUCUAAAUUUGUUCAACAUGUUCUAAAUUUGUAAGCUCAUGUUUUAAAAUUAUUCAAUCAUGUUCUAAAUUUUUAAGCUCAUGUUCUAAAUUUAUUCAAGCAUGUUCUAAAUUUAUUCACGAUGUUCUAAAUUUGUUCAACCAUGUUCUAAAUUUAUUCAAGCAUGUUCUAAAUUUAUUCAAACAUGUUCUAAAUUUAUUAUAUGCUUUCCUAGCACAAUAAAAGCGGUACAAGUUAAUUAUCAAGAGAUUCAAUCAAAUUAUAAUGCGAAUUGAAAAAGUAAAUUAACCACAUAAAUCACUAAAAUAAGUUAUUGAAAUUACAAAAUUGAUAACUAAAAUCAAAAUUCGGAAUAAUACAUUUGAAACAAAUCUAAGAAGAUAUUACAAAAUUAAAAUCAACCAAAAUCUUUAAAAUCUAUCCUCUUGAAUUAAUUCGGUCCAUCUCCACCAUCGCCUCUUAGUCUCUCUCCACCAGAAAUCACAAGCACAUCACCACAACCACAGAUAUAUUUUGCAGCCACCAAAUUGAACUCGAUUUUAAUUUUUGGAAUUGAGAAAUCAAUUGAAAUCGAUUUUAAUUGUUGAAUUCAGAAUUGGAAAAUCGAUUGAGAAUGCCGAUUAAAAUUCGAUUUUGAAACCUCCUAACAAUCAAUUGAGAUGUCGAUUGAAAAAUCGAUUUCGAAAAAUCGAUUAAAAAUCUCUAAUUGAAAUUGAUUGCGAAUUGAGAAGUGUUCAGUGAGGAAUCGGAGGAGGCAAAAGUUCUUACCGGAUAAUAGCGGCGGCGAGUGGCGAGCUGCGGCGAGAGAUGAGCAGCGGUGCAGGAAACCGCACUAGUAGAAAAAACCCUUGUUGCAGCCCCCUUAUUGAAGGGGGCAUAAAGAAGUACGCUUCAACAACCAAUCGGUCAACGCGGGUCAAACAUUAUAAACUGUUGUUGAAGCGAACAUUUUUGUUGUUCGCUUCAAUAGCAGUUGUUGAAGGGGGGAUUAAAUGUUCGCUUCAACAAAUAACAGUCGCAUAUACUCCAACUUUUGAUUCUCUCUCCUCCUCAUUUCUUCUGUUAACCUGAAAGAUUCAUUUCUCUCUCUUCUCUCCCCUCUCCUCUCUCCCGGUUCAAAACUCCUCAAACCAUCCGCCCCUUUCCAUGGAAGGUCUAUCUUCUCUCCCUCUCCCCCAUUCUCUAUAAUUUCAAAGAAGGUGUCUUCAUAAACGGCCUCGAUUUCGUUUUCUUUCUCUCUCCUCUUUCAAAAAAAAUUUCGUGUUAGAUUUAGAUAUUUCAAGCGAAAACGAGGGAGUGCAUCGGUCAAGCUGGUAGCUUUACUGUGUCGAGCAUGGUAUUCAGUUUGAUCAGUUGAUUGUUCCUGAUGAAUAUCGUUGCCCCAUUUCUAAAGAAAUUGUGAAGGACCCUGUUAUUUCAUCUACUGGAAGUGGGAAAAUGCAAGGAGUCUAUUGCCUCCAAAUGUUAGGGUUGUGGAAAUGAGUAUGAAUGAUUCCUGGUUUUGUGAUUCAAGACCUACUUUUCUCGUAAGGAAGAACAACAUGAAGAGUGUAGCUGGAAUCGAUUGGACUUUCAACAGUUAGGGUGGCGUUGAUGAUGGAUGCUAUAAGGAUUGGAGUCAUGACAUUCUUGUUUCAAGGAAGG